AUGACAUCAGAGGAGAUGAUGCUAGCUUCUAUAAAACAUAUCAUUUGGGAGAGUGUCUCAGAAUUUUUGUGCUACACUGGAGAUUUCCUGCUGCCUUCAACUGCUAUAAUUCUAAAAAUGUUGGAACUAGGACCAGGAAGAAAGAUUGGAUUGGGCUUGGCUGGCUUCACUAUUCUACCAUGGCUGCUCAUUGUGAUUGGAUUCGGAUGGCUUACUGUUGGCACCGGUACAGCACCAGUGGGGCUUAUUUUGUUCCCCUAUUGGUUCAUCUCUCUGCUGGGUAUUCAAAUCAUCGUGCUGGGAACUGUUCAUGCAUGCUGUUAUCAGUGCACGAUCUGCCGCUAGGAUCCUCAGGACGAUUACAACAUGCAGUUGUCAGUAUUUUGUUUCUUCUCUGUUUGGGGAUGAUCUUCUUUGAUGCUGGAACCCUCAUUAUUGUAUACUCAGCCAGAGGCCUCCUGGUUCAUCCUGUCAACUUAUUUUUUGCUGGAGCACUAAUUGCCACUGUGUCCUGGACUGGUCAGAUGGUGGCAUGGACCUUCUAUGAAGUGCCCGAGGAAGCUAUCAUCAACACAACCAACAGUACUAGUUAUAACAGUGCAUGCGUGACUUGUAGAAAGUGCCCGUUACUAAUUAUAGUAUUAGCUGCAUGAUGUUUGAAACUCAACAAUGAUUACUGUAUCACUUUAGUGACUGA